UGUUACAGGUGAGAGGAGCUGUUGCCAAAAACGAGAACUGGAAGGAUCACCUGUCAUUGAAAGUUGCUUACGAGAACUGGAGAUAUGACAAGUCCAGUCAGACAAAAGAGGUGAUUAUUCCCGGUCUCAAGUACAGCGAGGAACAAAUCUUCUUCAUACUCUAUGCACAGACUAUGUGUGAGAAAGUCAGCCGACGAGGGUUGAUAGAAUACUACAUCAACGACGACUCCGAGGUGACGCCUCCUGGGAGGUUCAGAGUCCAUGGGGCGCUGAUGAACUUCCGUCCAUUCGCCGCUGCCUUCAAGUGCCGACCUGACUCUCGGAUGAACCCAUCAGAAAAGUGCCAAAUAUUCUAGAGAUGUUGCACCACUUUCACAACGUGAUUAGCAAAACAUUGAUGAUACCACUCUUUCAUGUCAGAGGUCAACACACCUCGCGGGAUACCUUGAGGUCAGAGGUCAACACACCUCGCGGGAUACCUUGAGGUCAGAGGUCAACACACCUCGCGGGAUGCCUUCAGAUCAGAGGUCAACACACCUCACGGGGAUACCUUUAGGUCAGAGGUCAACACACCUCGCGGGAUACCUUCUGGUCAGAGGUCAACACACCUAGCGGGAUACCUUCAGGUCAGAGGUCAACACACCUCGCGGGGAUACCUUUAGGUCAGAGGUCAACACACCUCGCGGGAUACCUUCUGGUCAGAGGUCAACACGCCACAGAGGGGAUGCUUUCAGGUCAGAGGUCACACGCUACGGAGGGGAUGCCUUCAGGGUAGAGGCCACACACUACGGAGGGGAUACCUUCAAAUCAGAGAUCAACACAGCGUGGAGGGAUACCUUCAGGUCAGAGGUCAACAUUACAUGGAGAGAAUACCUUCAGGUCAGAGGUCAAAACUACGUGGAAGAAUACCUUCAGCCGGUAGAUCCACAUCAGUGGUUCCCCCGACAGCCAUGGCCACGCAUCCAACGAUAACAAUGUCCGCCAAACCCCAUCAGUAGAACACCUCAGUUCUACAUGUGCAGGACUUAUUGCACGUGUCAAUCAUAUCCGACUCGCCCAUUCCCUGAUCAUAUCUCAAGUACUUCAAACACACAUCAGCCGUUUCAUAUCCCUGUUUUGAAUAUAUAUUUCACAACAAAGAUCCCGCAUUAUAAUUGUGCAAGAACAUUGCCCAUUUCUCGUUGUCCGAAAAGAUAUCAGUGUUCGUCGUUUUAACGGCCACGGUUCGUUAUAAGAUAGCAUAUUUACACUUGUCAUACCUCAUUGAACACCCACAUUGUCCAGCAACACAGCAUCUAUAUUCUUCUCGUCCAGUUGCCCGACAUCAUUGUCGACCAUCGCCAUACCUCAUCUAACCUCAUCUAGUUGUUUCAUGCAUACCUCACUGUAUCUAGUUAUUUCAUGCAUACCUUUUUGUUUCUAGUUAUUUCAUGCAUAACACACUGCAUCUAGUUAUUUCAUGCAUGUCACAUUGCAUCGAGUUGUUUCAUGCAUACCACAUUAUAUCUUGUUAUUUCUUGCAUAACUCAUUGUAUCUAGUUGUUCAUACAUACUUCAUUGUAUCUAGUUGUUCAUACAUACCUCAUUGUAUCUAGUUGUUCAUACAUACCCCAUUGUAUCUAGUUGUUUUAUGCAUACCUCAUUAUAUCUUGUUAUUUCAUGCCUAACUCAUUGUAUCUAGUUAGUUCAUGCAUAACUCAUUGUAUCUAGUUGUUUUAUGCAUACCUCAUUAUAUCUUGUUAUUUCAUGCAUCUAUGUACACUGGAAGGAAAAGUGUGUAUGACAUAUGUUGUUAUAAACAUUAUAUGCCAUCUAUGUACACUGGAAGGACAAAUGCGUUAUGAAACAUGUUGUUUGUACAUUAUAUACCAUCUAUGUACACUGGAAGGAAAGGUGCGCUAUGAAACUGUGUUAUAAACAUUAUAUACCAACUAUGUACACUGGAAGGAAAAGUGCGCUAAGAAACAUGUUGUUAUAAACAAUAUAUACCAUCGAUGUACACUGGAAGGAAAAGUGCGUUAUGAAACAUGUUUUUAUAAACAAUAUAUACCAUCGAUGUACACUGGAAGGAAAAGUGCGUUAUGAAACAUGUUGUUAUAAGCAUUAUAUACAGUCUAUGUACACUGGAAGGAAAAGUACGUUAUGAAACAUGUUGCUAUAAACAUUAUAUACCAUCUUUGUACACUGGAAGGAAAAGUGCGGUAUGAAACAUGUUGUUAUAGACAAUAUAUACCAUCUUUGUACACUGGAAGGAAAAGUGCGUUAUGAAACAUGUUGUUAUACACAUUAAAUACCAUCUAUGUACACUGGAAGGAAAAGUGCGUUAUGAAACAUAUUGUUACAAACAAUAUAUACCAUCUUUGUACACUGGUAGGAAAAGUGCGUUAUGAAACAUGUUGUUAUACACAUUAUAUACCAUCUAUGUACACUUGAAGGAAAAGUGCGUUAUGAAACAUGUUGUUUGUACAUUAUAUACCAUCUAUGUACACUGGAAGGAAAAGUGCGUUAUGAAACAUGUUGUUAUACACAUUAUAUACCAUCUUUGUACACUGGUAGGAAAAGUGCGUUAUGAAACAUGUUGUUAUACACAUUAUAUACCAUCUAUGUACACUGGAAGGAAAAGUGCGUUAUGAAACAUGUUGUUUGUACAUUAUAUACCAUCUUUGUACACUGGUAGGAAAAGUGCGUUAUGAAACAUGUUGUUAUACACAUUAUAUACCAUCUAUGUACACUGGAAGGAAAAGUGCGUUAUGAAACAUGUUGUUAUACACAUUAUAUACCAUCUUUGUACACUGGUAGGAAAAGUGCGUUAUGAAACAUGUUGUUUGUACAUGAUAUACCAUCUAUGUACACUGGAAGGAAAAUUGCGCUAUGAAACAUGUUGUUAUACACAUCAUAUACCAUCUUUGUACACUGGAAGGAAAAGUGCGCUAUGAAACAUGUUGUUAUACACAUUAUAUACCAUCCAUGUACACUGGAAGGAAAAGUGCGCUAUGAAACAUGUUGUUGUUAACAUUAUAUACCAUCCAUGUACACUGGAAGGAAAAGUGCGUUAUGAAAUAUGUUGUUAUAAGCAUUAUUUAUUACUUGCCCGUGAAGAGAUCACCCGUUUAAUAAACAUACAGCUGUAUUACACAUUGUGUAAUACCAAAGCGCGUGCUUAUGUACUACGGGAAUAGACGUUUCACUAACAAAUAUUGAAAACUCCCAACAUCUCUCGGCUUAUUCAACGACAUUGCGUGUAGAUAUGAUAGAUCACUGAUAGGAGCUUAUGCACACUCGAUGAUUCCAGCACCCUGUUGCGAGUCUGACGUCACAUGACAUUGUUUCGCCGGUGGAUCUUGCAACAAAAUUUAACAAAUUACGUCAUAGGGUAUUGUGACGUGAUUGCAAACUUUAAUUUGUGGUACAGGGCCUCGUUCCACGGCGGUUGCAGCGCAAGGACAAUCGUAAGUUUAAGUUAAAGUAUGGGAGUUAGGAUCACCUGUAUAAAGGUAGGCCGUUGGAUGGUAUUAAAUUAAUACGUGUCAACGUUUGACGAGUUUGAACUAGGAUUCUGUUAAAUUCAAUAGGAUUAUGCUGUGGAUCGCGUUGAUGUCUGUCUAUUCACAAACAACAGUGAAAUUUUCAACAACAAAAUAUAAGCGGCAAGUAAUAAAUAAAAUACUCAACUCCUUCCCGUGUUAUACCAAUUAUAUGAAACUCGUGAAUAGUUCUGUUAUUUGAAAAUGGCAUAUCACGUGAGCGAGUUUAGCAUUCUAUAUAUAUGUAUGUAUACUCCAUGUACACUAGAAGGAAAAGUGCGCUAUGAAACAUGUCAUUAUAAAAAUUAUAUACCCUCUAUGGAAACAAGAAGGAAAAGUGCGCUAUGAAACAUGUUAUAAAAUUAUAUACCCUCUAUGUAUGCAAGAAGAAAAUGUGCGUUAUGAAAUAUGUUGUUAUAAAAAUUAUAUACCCUUUAUAUCUCCAAGAAGGAAAAGUGCGCUAUGAAACAUGUUAUAAAUUAUAUACUCUCUAUGUAUACCAGAAGGAAAAGUUCCUUUUGAAACAUGUUGUUAUAAAAUUAUAUACCCUCUAUAUAUACAAGAAGGGAGAGUGCGUUAUGAAACAUGUUAUAAAAUUAUAUACCCUCUUUGUAUACAAGGAGGAAAAGUUACUUAUGAAACAUGAAGUUAUAAACGUUAUAUGCCCUCGAUGUAUGCAAGAAGAAAAUGUGCGUUAUGAAACAUGUUGUGUACCUGAUAUAUAUGAAUAGAGAUAGAUAAAAUAUGUUGUUAUAGACUGUGUAUAUCCUUGAUAUACAUGAGAAGGAAGAAUGUGUUAUAUGAAUGUUGUUAUAAACGGUGUAUGUUCUUGAUAUACAGUCCAAGGAAGAGAGUGUUAAAACAUGUUGCUGGAGUCAGUUCAAAUGGUUGGCUUAGCAAACAGGACAGCUGUUUUUUUCAAUUUAAUGUUGACAUGAAUUCCCAGGUCGUUACAUCAAACAUAGGUUGUUAUAAAAGUUUAUAUCCUUCAUAUACACUAGAAGCAAGAGUGUGUUAUGUAACAUAAACUUUAUAUGUACUUGUAACAUAGAAGGAAGAGCGCGUUAAAUAACGUGUUGUUAUAAACAUUGUAUAUAUAUGUUAUACACUAGAAGGAAGACAGCGUUAUAUAGCAUGUGUUAUAAAAUAGUGUAUGAAAGAGCCAGAGAAAUACGUAUAGAUGCCACCCCACAGCCAUAAGCAUACAUGAUAACAGGAUAAUAGAUUUCUUAUCAAUCAUGAAUACUAUGUGAUUAUUUGCAAUCAUUAUUGAUGCUGAUUAAUUGUUUGACAUUGUGUAAAUGGACACAACACAGACCAGCCUAGUUGUAAAAAGGAUGUCCUGUCCAUGUUUGUUAGAUAUAUCUGUUGUGAAUCUGUUCCCUCCCGGCAUGCAACAGGUCACUUCCGCUAUUACAGACAUUGUUCUAGCGGUUGGUUGACCCUGCGCUUGUAGCAACAUUAAAGUGCUGACCGUUCGCCAUGAUGAUAGCGCCAUCACAAUACAAAGCCUAACGAGAAUGUCUAUCAGAUCAGUCAGCCGAAAUUAACGUAAUAACUGUUCAAUGUCCGCCAAAUUACACGUCUGGUUGCCUUACUAGAUUGUCAUUGGUGUAGUGAUGGAAGAAGAUGGCGUGCGUACAUCUCGCGGUAUUCCACCUUCUCCAUACGUCACACACUAGCUGUAUCAAUACAUCCCGCGCUGGGGGGUAGUUGUAUCAAUACAUCCCGCGCUGGAGGGUAGUUGUAUCAAUACAUCCCGCGCUGGAGGGUAGUUGUAUCAAUACAUCCCGCGCUGGGGGGUAGUUGUAUCAAUACAUCCCGCGCUGGGGGGUAGUUGUAUCAAUACAUCCCGCAGUGGGGGGGAGUUGUAUCAAUACAUCCCGCGCUGGGGGGUAGUUGUAUCAAUACAUCCCGCGCUGGGGGGUAGUUGUAUCAAUACAUCCCGCGCUGGGGGGUAGUUGUAUCAAUACAUCCCGCGCUGGGGGGUAGUUGUAUCAAUACAUCCCGCACUGGGGGGUAGUUGUAUCAAUACAUCCCGCACUGGGGGGUAGUUGUAUCAAUACAUCCCGCACUGGGGGGUAGUUGUAUCAAUACAUCCCGCAUUGGGGGGUAGUUGUAUCAAUACAUCCCGCACUGGGGGGUAGUUGUAUCAAUACAUCCCGCGCUGGGGGGUAGUUGUAUCAAUACAUCCCGCACUGGGGGGUAGUUGCAUCAAUACAUCCCGCACUGGGGGGUAGUUGUAUCA